GCAACUGAACCCUGGUUGCAUCAGCGCGUUGAGUAGCACUUACCGGCGGAGUUACAUGCUGUUAGAUAUUUACAUUUUCUUGUAAUUUCCAGUACUUUAUCAAGUUAUAUCUAGGUAUUUCAGUCCACAAGCAGUUGAAUUAGAGGCAGCUAGAUGAAACUAUUCGUGAGUGACGGAAAUCCGCACUGUGUUAAAGUGCUAGCAGUGCUCGAAUUUACGGGAGUCAAAUGUGACGUUAAACAUGUCAACCACGAAGAGCGAGUGGUGCCCUACCUCAGCCGUCCAGCCCUGCCUGCCCUGCUCCUCCCCAGUGGAACACACCUCUUCAGCCCCAACUCCAUCUGCCAGUACCUGAUAGAGCUGAAUGGACAGGAAUCCAGUGAUAUCGUCAACCAGUGGCUGGAAUGGGAAGCUACAGAACUACAGCCUGCAGUGAUGCAUGCCCUUCACAUGGUGGUGCUGCAGGGAAAAGGAGCAGAAACCCCCAGGGUUCUACAGGGACCUCUCAGCUACCUGGACCAGAGUCUGAGCCAGAGGACCACGCUGUUCCUCACUGCUGAGAUGGUUUCUGUGGCAGAUGUGGUUCUGUGGGCAGCUCUCUACCCUAUCCUGUCUGACAGCAGUCUGGUAUCAGGUAAUCAGACGCUGCAGCUGUGGUUUGAGCGUGUGGGCAUGUUGGCAGCCUGUGUGUCUGCAGCCCAGACUGUACUUCAGGGGAAGGGACUGAAGGCGGAGUCUCUGAAGACCUACCUGCAGAGACAGCCAACCACACACCAUGGUCAGGGACAGGUUCAGGGUAGAGGCACACAGCCAUGCAACAGCCCUGAGGGUGAUGAUGAUGAUGAUGAUUGUGUGCUGUCAGAGGAAGAGAUCCAGUCUGCCGCUGUCACCUGGGGUAAAGGACUUACAGACUUACCCAUGGUUCCAGAGAGACAACACCCUAUUCUUCCUCAGGAGGGCAAGAGGAACGUCCUAGUGACCAGUGCCUUGCCUUAUGUUAACAACGUCCCUCAUCUGGGCAACAUCAUCGGCUGUGUGCUCAGCGCUGACGUCUUUGCCAGGUAUGGUCGUCUGCGUGGUUGGAAUGUACUGUAUGUGUGUGGGACUGAUGAGUACGGCACAGCUACAGAGAACAAGGCCCGUGAGGAAGGUCUGACAGCACAGCAGAUCUGUGACAAGUACCAUGCUGUCCACGCCUCCAUCUACCAGUGGUUCCAGGUCGACUUUGACUUCUUUGGCCGCACCACCACAAAGAAGCAGACUGAGAUAGCCCAGAACAUCUUCUGGCGUCUCCAUGAGCGAGGCUUCCUACUUGAAGACAUUGUGGAGCAGCUGCGCUGCGAGGCGUGCCAGCGUUUUCUAGCCGACCGCUUCGUCGAGGGAACAUGUCCCUUCUGCUCUUACCCAGAGGCCCGAGGGGACCAGUGUGACAAGUGUGGCAAGCUUAUCAACGCUGUGGAGCUACGGGAGCCUACUUGUAAGGUGUGUAGUCAGACUCCUGUAGUCCAAUCCUCCAAACACCUGUUCCUGGACCUGCCCAAGUUGGAGGCUGAGUUGGAGCAGUGGUUGGAGAGGUCUACUGGGUCAGGGGACUGGACGGCCAAUGCCAAACAGAUCACCAGAUCCUGGGUGAGGGACGGACUCAAACCCCGCUGCAUCACCAGAGACUUGAAGUGGGGAACCCCUGUACCUCACCCCGACUUCUCUGACAAGGUGUUCUACGUGUGGUUUGACGCUCCUAUUGGUUACCUGUCCAUCACAGCCAACUACACUGACCAAUGGGAGAAGUGGUGGAAGAACCCACAGCAGGUGGAGCUGUAUAACUUCAUGGCCAAGGACAAUGUUCCGUUCCACAGUGUGGUGUUCCCCUGCUCUCUACUGGGAGCACAGGACAACUAUACACUGGUCAACCACCUGGUGGCUACAGAGUACCUGAACUACGAGGACACCAAGUUCUCUAAGAGUCGAGGUGUUGGUGUGUUUGGUGACAUGGCCAAGGAUACGGGCAUCCCCUCUGACGUGUGGCGAUUCUACCUGCUGUACCUCCGUCCCGAGGGACAGGACUCGGCCUUCUCCUGGGUCGACAUGGCCACCAAGAACAACUCUGAGCUGCUCAAUAACCUGGGCAACUUCAUCAACAGGGCUGGUAUGUUUGUCAGUAAGUUCUUUGAGAGCUGUGUCCCUGCCAUGGCUCUUCAGCAGGAGGACAAGAGACUGUUGGCUCAGGUGGGAUGGGAGCUGAAGCAGUACAUUAACCUCAUGGACAGAGUCAAGAUCCGGGAUGCCCUGAAGUGUAUCCUCAACAUCUCUCGCCACGGUAACCAGUACAUCCAGGUCAACGAACCCUGGAAGAAAAUUAAAGGAGACGAAACAGACAGGCAGCGAUCGGGUACAGUGACAGGUGUGUCUGUGAAUGUGGCGUGCCUGCUGUCCGUCAUGCUCCAGCCCUACAUGCCAACGGUCAGUCACACCAUCCGCCAGCAGCUGAACGCUCCGCCCUCCGUUACCGGGACCCUGCUGCAGGGCACAGGGAACUUCGUCUGCUCUCUGCCCGCCGGGCAUCACAUUGGCACGGUCAGCCCGUUGUUCCAGAAACUAGAGUCCGAACAGAUCGAGUCUCUGAAGAAGAGGUUUGGAGGACAGCAGCCAGAGGAGGAGGAAGAAGCCAAACCGAAGCCAAAGACGACAGCCCAGCCUGAUGUCAACGCCCAGCCUGCUACGACCCCAGCUUCAGAUCCGGCUGCUCAGACUGCAGUGAACGGUGCAGACGCUGAGAGAGCCAGGGAGUUAACACUGGCUGUGGCAGAACAGGCGGAGAAGGUCCGGACCCUGAAGGGCCAGAAGGCAGAGAAAACUGUGAUUGGAGCAGAGGUCACCAAACUACUGGAACUGAAGAAACAGCUGUCCCUGGCUGAGGGAAAGGACCCAGAACCAGUGCUGACAAAAGGGAAGAAGAACGCCCAGCCUGCUACAACCCCAGCUUCAGAUCCGGCUGCUCAGACUGCAGUGAACGGUGCAGACGCUGAGAGAGCCAGGGAGUUAACACUGGCUGUGGCAGAACAGGCGGAGAAGGUCCGGACCCUGAAGGGCCAGAAGGCAGAGAAAACUGUGAUUGGAGCAGAGGUCACCAAACUACUGGAACUGAAGAAACAGCUGUCCCUGGCUGAGGGAAAGGACCCAGAACCAGUGCUGACAAAAGGGAAGAAGAACGCCCAGCCUGCUACAACCCCAGCUUCAGAUCCGGCUGCUCAGACUGCAGUGAACGGUGCAGACGCUGAGAGAGCCAGGGAGUUAACACUGGCUGUGGCAGAACAGGGCGAGAAGGUCCGGACCCUGAAGGGCCAGAAGGCAGAGAAAACUGUGAUUGGAGCAGAGGUCACCAAACUACUGGAACUGAAGAAACAGCUGUCCCUGGCUGAGGGAAAGAACCCGGAACCAGUGCUGACAAAAGGGAAAAAGAAGUGAUUAGAAAGAGAGAGAAGACCGACAAGAGACUGGACAAAUAUGAGAGAAGUAGAGGCAAGAUUUGAAUAAUAAUAAGAAGAAAUAUGAGACACAUAAACAACAUCUGUGACAGGAUGGAAGACGAUGUUUUGUUGCUUAUGGGGACAGAGUAAUAGGAAAGAUCAGUAAUCGAAGAGGGAGGGGGGGGGGGGUAAAAUUCAAAACUGCUACAAAAUAUUCAGUCAAGACCAUUUCUACAUCUCUUUACUCGAAGUAGCAGGUUCUAGUAGGCUGCUGGCUCGGUGAGUUCCCCGUCCUUUUAUCACGGUAUCGUGAAGAGAGAUAAAAUGGUGUUGCUGCGACCAGGCUGGUGGCACCCGGCUACGGUUCUACUGUCACUAUGCAGCCAGUAGUUCAGGUCAGUGUGUGUAGAACGAUGUCUGCAUAAUGAUAUUGUAAUAUUGUUAUAUAAAAAAAUAUAAAAAGAAAAGUCAUGUUUUUACAUAUUCCCACUUCCCAUUUAUUGAAUCAAAUAAAUACAACAUUUGCUAAAAAAAAAAAAAUCUGCAAAUUCUGUGAUAAAUGGAUUCAGAAACAGAGGCUGAAAUGUUAUUAUUUUCUUAAUUUGACACCUUCAAAGAUUAAAGCGUUUGUUUGGACCUGAUAUUCAUCUCACUUUGCAUUUCAAUCAAAUAGACAUUCCAAGGCAAUAAAAAUGUUUUUAAAGGAUUUCAUUUGCAACUCCAAACAUACAAUAACAAAGUAGUUCCUCGUAAUUUAACAGAAAUAAUUCAACCACUAAACCGAUGCAUCAUUUACAGUGAAAUGUUGAAUCAAUGUGGGUACAGUGAAGGUUUUAUUUCAGUAGAACUGUGUUCGUAUAAUACAGGAGUAUAUCAAAUAUAUAUAUAUGUGAAUCAGGGUAGAGCUCUACAUUGUAAAUAUCACUACCACUAAAUUCAGUCAAUUUGAUAGAAAAAGAUGAGCGUUUUAGGUGUAAAACUAUCCACGUUCUAGGUGUAAAACUAUCCACGUUCUAGGUGUAAAACUAUCCAACGUUCUAGGUGUAAAACUAUCCAACGUUCUAGGUGUAAAACUAUCCAACGUUCUAGGUGUAAAACUAUCCACGUUCUAGGUGUAAAACUAUCCAACGUUCUAGGUGUAAAACUAUCCACGUUCUAGGUGUAAAACUAUCCACGUUCUAGGUGUAAAACUAUCCAACGUUCUAGGUGUAAAACUAUCCACGUUCUAGGUGUAACUAUCCAACACUCUAGGUGUAAAACUAUCCACGUUCUAGGUGUAAAUCCAACGUUCUAGGUGUAAAACUAUCCAACGUUCUAGGUGUAAAUCCAACGUUGUAGGUGUAAAACUAUCCACGUUCUAGGUAUAAAACUAUCCACGCACAGUAAAGCCGUAGCGGCUUAUAUAAGUACUGAGUUACUGACUGACAAACUUUCCUGAGCUCUAUAUUAUUAUUACUAUAUUAUCUAUAUUACUCCACAAACUGGACACGAAAUAUGAUCUCUGAUGGUCUCUGCAGUCUUUAGGUUUGAGGUUGGCGGAUGAGGGAUAGCCUGGUAUUUAGCUACGUUUCCCGGUUGCUUCCCUGGGAAACCAAGGUAGGCUUAGCAUUCAGUCAGGUUUAACCAGGCUAGAUAAAGGAUGUCGUGACAAUGAAAUGCACUGUCCUCGUUUUAGUUCUCACUACCUUCAUACUAGGAAUGAGUCCAACACAAGGUUGUCAGAAUCGCUUCGUUGACGGAGCCCGAUCAAUAAAAAUUCCUACCAAACCCCCCAAUCAAUAACUCCUAGCAAUGGGAAAAAUCAUUUUUAAUAGUUUUUUUUUCGAUUAGCCAUAAUUUUGGAAUCGAUGCCGACACCCCAAAACAAAUCAGAAUUUUCACUAAUCACUUCACUCGGCUUAACGAGCAAAACGCCCAAUCACAAUCGCAUUCGUUAGGGCACCCAACAGAAAACACUUUAAAAUGUUCUGCAACAGAACUGAACAAAUGUUGUUGUUUUUUGUCCAUGUAGUCCCACUUUGUUUCUUUGCAUUUGAUGCUUAAUGAACGUGACCCAUGCAACGCUUGGGAUAGGUGUUGGUUCACAAUCUUCAUAGGUAGAUGCUUCCGAAUCAAUUCCUUCAUUUUUGGAAUCAAAGGCCCCAAUCGGUUAAUUGAAUCUAACCCAUCCGUACUUCAUACUGAACUCUGCGCUAGACUGAAUAACCUAAACGGCCCAAUCAUUCUACGUUAGUUAACCCAUCUGUUUCAAAGAUGCUUCCUGAGACGCUCGGCCCUACAUGUAGAUACAGUACACUGUAACCUCUCAACAGAGAGCAUGACCCAUCCACCUUCUGAAACGUUUCCUCCUUUUCCUCCUGUAUGUCCAUCUGUCUGCCACCGUUCAUCUGUCUGCCAC